UGCCCCGUAGUGUAAUGGUAACACACGAGAAUUUGGGUCUCGGUUUCCAGGUUCGAGUCCUGGCGGGGCAACCA
rnacentral:tRNA from 1 species